rnacentral:rRNA from 1 species
CGGUACGUACUGGCAUCGUCGGUUUCUCCCUUCUGACGAACCAUGAUGUCAUUUAUUUGGUGUCGUGGGGAAUCAGGACUGUUACUUUGAAAAAAUUAGAGUGUUUAAAGCAGGCUCACGCUUGAAUACAUUAGCAUGGAAUAAUGAAAUAGGACGUUUGAUUCUAUUUUGUUGGUUUCUAGGAUCGACGUAAUGAUUAAUAGGGAUAGUUGGGGGCAUUAGUAUUCAAUUGUCAGAGGUGAAAUUCUUGGAUUUAUUGAAGACUAACUACUGCGAAAGCAUUUGCCAAGGAUGUUUUCAUUAAUCAAGAACGAAAGUUAGGGGAUCGAAGACGGUCAGAUACCGUCGUAGUCUUAACCAUAAACUAUGCCGACUAGGGAUCGGAUGAUGUUAAUUUUUUAAUGACUCAUUCGGCGCCUUACG